GACCUCUGAGCUCCAGAUUGGGACAGAGGGAAUCAGCAUAAUUUUUUGUGGUGCAUUUACUUGAUUGGUGCUUGGGGAUGUUUGAGGCAGAUUUGUUUCCGUCGUUUUGAGGCCAGCUUGCUGGUACCCAAACGGUGUUAGCAUUUUUUGUCUUGGGCAUUUGAGUAUGGCUCACGUGCAUUUAUUGGACAGAUCUGAGUGUAAGUUACGGUCGCAUGCGACACGUGCUUUUCAAUUAGUUCGGUCCAGUUAAUGCUCUCGUACUCGUUCCCCAUGUAAAAGCCGGUCAUCUAUCCGACCCGUCUUGAAACACGGACCAAGGAGUUUAUCGUGUGCGCAAGUUUUUGGGUGUUAAAAACUUAAAAGCGAAAUGAAAGUAAAUGACUCUUUAGAGUCUGAUGUGCGAUCUUGUAAAAAAGUGUAGCAUGGCCCCAUUCUAACUGUUUACAGUAGGGUGGCGGAAGAGCGUACGCGGUGAGACCCGAAAGAUGGUGAACUAUUCCUGAGCAGGACGAAGCCAGAGGAAACUCUGGUGGAAGUCCGAAGCGGUUCUGACGUGCAAAUCGAUCGUCUGAC
rnacentral:rRNA from 1 species